AAAAUGUGCAUCUAAUGUGUGCAGCACAUGAAGAGGGGUAGCUGCAUUCUGCUGUAGCUUUACCUUUUUUUGUGUGGAAUUGCUAUCAAAAGAUUUCAGAAGCAACAUUCCUGUACCUGGAAUAUCUGGUUAUCAUUUGUUGUGGCUCCC